GACGAACGCUGGCGGCGUGCCUAAUACAUGCAAGUUGAGCGAUGAAGAUUGGUGCUUGCACCAAUUUGAAGAGCAGCGAACGGGUGAGUAACGCGUGGGGAAUCUGCCUUUGAGCGGGGGACAACAUUUGGAAACGAAUGCUAAUACCGCAUAACAACUUUAAACAUAAGUUUUAAGUUUGAAAGAUGCAAUUGCAUCACUCAAAGAUGAUCCCGCGUUGUAUUAGCUAGUUGGUGAGGUAAAGGCUCACCAAGGCGAUGAUACAUAGCCGACCUGAGAGGGUUAUCGGCCACAUUGGGACUGAGACACGGCCCAAACUCCUACGGGAGGCAGCAGUAGGGAAUCUUCGGCAAUGGACGAAAGUCUGACCGAGCAACGCCGCGUGAGUGAAGAAGGGUUUCGGAUCGUAAAACUCUGUUGGUAGAGAAGAACGUUGGUGAGAGUGGAAAGCUCAUCAAGUGACGGUAACUACCCAGAAAGGGACGGCUAACUACGUG
rnacentral:rRNA from 1 species